GCUGCUCAGUAAGAUUUGGUGAAAUAAUUUGGUGGACAAACGUUGGGUUAAUAACACUACCAUAUAUUUAAAGAGGGUAACACUAAACAACAAUAAUAAACUUGUGUGACCCUCAUGUAGUGUUGGGGAAAUACUAAAAAUUAAAUGCUAAACUAUAUCUAAAUAUUGUGAUCUAUGCUAAAUAUUAUUUGUCCUUUAUUUUGAAUCCAUUUGAUUUGUUGUACCGUGUUCGGUUUGUCUUGUGACUAUACUCGUUUUUGGCAUAAAGUGUUAAAAUAUAAUGCAUUGACUAUAUCUAUACACUUCUAUACAGUUCUACAGUGUCAUCUUGGUCUUCACUUUGUCG